rnacentral:rRNA from 1 species
AUGAACGCUGGCGGCGUGCCUAAUACAUGCAAGUCGAGCGAACAGAUGAGGAGCUUGCUCCUCUGACGUUAGCGGCGGACGGGUGAGUAACACGUGGAUAACCUACCUAUAAGACUGGGAUAACUUCGGGAAACCGGAGCUAAUACCGGAUAAUAUAUUGAACCGCAUGGUUCAAUAGUGAAAGACGGUUUUGCUGUCACUUAUAGAUGGAUCCGCGCCGCAUUAGCUAGUUGGUAAGGUAACGGCUUACCAAGGCAACGAUGCGUAGCCGACCUGAGAGGGUGAUCGGCCACACUGGAACUGAGACACGGUCCAGACUCCUACGGGAGGCAGCAGUAGGGAAUCUUCCGCAAUGGGCGAAAGCUUGACGGAGCAACGCCGCGUGAGUGAUGAAGGUCUUCGGAUCGUAAAACUCUGUUAUUAGGGAAGAACAAAUGUGUAAGUAACUAUGCACGUCUUGACGGUACCUAAUCAGAAAGCCACGGCUAACUACGUGC